UACGUAGGUGGCAAGCGUUGUCCGGAUUUACUGGGCGUAAAGAGCGCGCAGGCGGUCGUUCAAGUCGCGUGUGAAAGCCCCCGGCUCAACUGGGGAGGGUCACGCGAUACUGAUCGACUCGAAGGCAGGAGAGGGUAGUGGAAUUCCCGGUGUAGUGGUGAAAUGCGUAGAUAUCGGGAGGAACACCAGUGGCGAAGGCGGCCACCUGGACGGACACUGACGCUGAGGAGCGAAAGCGUGGGGAGCGAACAGG
rnacentral:rRNA from 1 species